rnacentral:rRNA from 1 species
CCUACGGGUGGCAGCAGUGAGGAAUAUUGGUCAAUGGCCGUAAGGCUGAACCAGCCAAGUAGCGUGAGGGAAGACUGCCCUAUGGGUUGUAAACCUCUUUUAUGCGGGGACAAAGGCGUCCACGUGUGGAUGUUUGCAGGUACCGCAUGAAAAAGCAUCGGCUAACUCCGUGCCAGCAGCCGCGGUAAUACGGAGGAUGCGAGCGUUAUCCGGAUUUAUUGGGUUUAAAGGGUGCGUAGGCGGACGCUUAAGUCAGCGGUAAAAUUGCGGGGCUCAACCUCGUCGAGCCGUUGAAACUGGGUGCCUUGAGUGGGCGAGAAGUACGCGGAAUGCGUGGUGUAGCGGUGAAAUGCAUAGAUAUCACGCAGAACUCCGAUUGCGAAGGCAGCGUACCGGCGCCCAACUGACGCUGAGGCACGAAGGCGUGGGUAUCGAACAGGAUUAGAUACCCUUGUAGUC